rnacentral:rRNA from 1 species
AAAGGAAUUGACGGGGGCCCGCACAAGCAGUGGAGUAUGUGGUUUAAUUCGAAGCAACGCGAAGAACCUUACCAGGUCUUGACAUCCCGAUGACCGGUUNCAGAGAUGAGCCUUUUCUUCGGGAACAUCGGUGACAGGUGGUGCAUGGUUGUCGUCAGCUCGUGUCGUGAGAUGUUGGGUUAAGUCCCGCAACGAGCGCAACCCUUUACGGUUAGUUGAUUACGCCAAGAUCCACUCUAGCCGGACUGCCGUUGACAAAACGGAGGAAGGUGGGGACGACGUCAAAUCAUCAUGCCCCUUAUGACCUGGGCUACACACGUACUACAAUGGCAGUC